rnacentral:lncRNA from 1 species
AUGAAGGAGGCUGGAGGCUCAGGCCCCCGGCCCUGCAGGGCGCGCAGGGGGGCGCGCAGGGGGGCGCGCAGGGGGGCGCGCAGGGGGGCGCGCAGGGGGGCGCGCAGGGGGGCGCGCAGGGGGGGCGCGCAGGGGGGGCGCGCAGGGGGGCGCGCAGGGGGGCGCGCCGCAGGCACAGCCCGGGCCGCCGCCUCCCCGCCGCGCUCGCGGUUCCGCUCCCCUCCCCUCCCCCUCCCUUCCCUUCCCCCGUCCUCCCCCCCCCCCCCCCCCCGCCGCAAAAUGUCCGCGGCGGCGCCCGGAGAAGCAGGAAGUCCGAGCCGGGGCGCGCGGGGGGCACACCCGGCCCGGGAGCCCGAGCCACCCGCCCUCGGCGUCCGCGGGGCCCGGCCGGGGCGGAGGGGGCCCCAGGCGGCCGCGAUGGGUGUGACCCCUUCCUUCCGCCGCUGCCGGGUGACAGCCGGGCCCCGCCCGCGCCCUCCGGCCCGCGCCCUCCGGCCCGCGCCCCGCGCCCCGCGCCCCGGCCGCGCACGUCCCGCCGGCCGAGCGCCCCCGCCCGCCCCGCUCCCUGACAGAACCCGGACCCGCGCGAGCCCGGACGGCGCCGCGAGGGGCGCGCACCCCUCCCCGCGCUCCCCGGGGCCCCAGAGGCGCGGUGCCUCCCCCACACACGCUCCCCUCGCCUCGCCUCGCCCGCGGGCGGGGACAGGCCGGGGGCCGCGCGGCGGGGACGGGACGGCGGGGGAGCCGCUCCCGCGGGGAGCCUCGGGCCCCGCACUCACCUCAGCUCCUCCGCCGGGGCGUUGGCAGCACUGCGCGGGGUCUCCUCGGCUGCCGGACAGGGGCACGCGCCUGACGUCAGCACGCAGGCGACGCAGGGUUGGGUGCCCGCGGAAGUGGGCGGGGUCCAGAGGCGAGCCCGGGCCGAGCGGUUGGAGGCGGGGCCUGAGUCACUCCCCCGCCCCCGCCCCCGCCCCCUCCCCCGCCCCCACCCCCGCCCAGGUUCACGCCGACGACCGCGCAUGCGCCGCCGGCCAGCGCGGCUGCCUAGAAGCUCAGCGGUUGAGCCACCGCUGUUUGCAAAGCUCGGCCACCCACAAAGAUUUUGUUCCAUUCAACCUUCUGAGGCUGAAGUGUUAUCAUCCCUCUUUGGCAAAAAAAAAAAAAAAAGACGGAGGCUUGGACUUGCAUGGAGGCAAUGACUUACUUGCCUGGGACACCCCCCUCCCAGGCCUGCCUGCCUGCCUUGGGUCCUUCAUCCGCCUGCACCACGCUGUCCCUUGCCCCAGACACUUAGGCAGUAUCUUGGUUUCGGGACUUCCUGCCACAAGGCCUCGCACUCUUUCCCCCGGCUCCUUCCUCUGCUCACCCUGUGCUCCCAGCACCUGCUUAUCACCUGUCCGUCCUUGCUAG